rnacentral:lncRNA from 1 species
CCACGAGAGCCGGAGGUCAAGGUUGGCAUGAGCGGAAGCCCAAGGGAUAGACUUGUGGGCCAGAGGCUCUGGCAGCGCAGGAAGCCCAGCCCGUGAGGAGGGGCUACAGAGCUGAGCUGCAAGCAUCCCUUAGAGCCGUGGGUUUCCAGUUGCUCAACUGGACCUAGCAGAGCUGCGGCUUCUAGGACCGUAGCCAUCAGCCUCCUGGAAGCAUCUCCAUAUACACUGAAUAAAAGGAAAUGAAAUUGAAAAACACAGCUCCCUGGUGACACUAGCCAUGUUUCAAGACGCUACUGUAUCAUUGCCAACAUCAUGGAAGGUUCUAUGGGGACGGCCGGGCACUAGAAGACUGUGGAGUCCACCUGGGAGGGGGAUGAGCAGCAUUGGAAAAGACAGUGAACAGGGUCCAGGAGCUAGAAGAGGACACAGUCCCGGCCACCUAGAGCUUGGGGACUGGUACGAUCGAAGGGACGUGAGGUAACUGCAGCCCAUUUGUUCAUUCGUCCAAUCAGCGGAGCUGAGUAAAUGUCACCUGUCUGACCGGUUACAACAUCACCUCGGGAAUCCUCUCGCCAACAGACAAGGACCCCCAUUCAACCGACUGGCUCCAAGCUGAGCCUUGGAGAGGUGGCUGGGGACAGGAGGAAAAGACGGAGCCCCCCGUGCAUUGCCAGGAUUUCUCUUUCCGUAUCCCAGCCUCCCUGCUCCCUGGGGCACACAGGUGGAUGGCGGAGGCAGCCAGUGAAGGCACCAACCGAGGGGCAGAACCUCCACAUGCCAUGGGCGCAGGCCAAAUGGAGAGAGUGAUGGAGAGAGGAAGAAACGCUGGGAGACACAACCUCCAAGUCUCAAGUGGAAACGGGGAGAGAGGCGUCAUGGGAGGGAGCAGCUCUCGAAGUCCCAGCUGGCCCCCCCUAGCUUCGCAAGGACAGCGCUACCUCUCCUCAUCUCUAAGACACCAUCCACCACUGUACGGCGCACUUUUCCGUAUCACUCAGAAAGAGAAACCGCUGGCAAUUAAAUUUGCCGACACGAUAUCGUGAGCUUUUUCGGGCACACAGAGUUUGGGGAACUAUAUGAUGGACAGGCACACGCGCGCCACCCAGCCUCUGCCGCUGACAUGUGGUCCUAUCGCACAUCGGUGCCUCGAGCCAUCCAUCAUUCCACCUUUUUUAAAAAAAAUUAUUAAAUAGUUGAUUGACAAUGCAGUGCCCAUCUUUUUUUCUUUUUUUUGGAUGCAUUUCAAAGUAGCUCGCAGACAUCAUAAUAGACCCUGGCGUACGUAUCAUUAACUAGAGCUGAAUAUGUGUUCACAGUCCUUUAGUUAGCAGGAAACCUACAAAGAACGCAAAUCUUGAGCAAAAACAUUCACCGAUAUUUGACAAAUGCUUACACCUGUGUGAGCCAAACCCUUUCAAGACACAGAACCCCAAAAAUUUCCUUCCUUUCCUGUGCCAGGCAACCCCCACCCCCACCCCCACUCCCAGAGAAAACCACUCUUGUGGUUAGUUUUGCCUGUUCUAGAACUUCCUGUAAAUGGACUCGUACAGUCUGUAUUCAACAUGAUACCUUUGAUGUCUUUUGAUAUUCUUUGAUCUUCCGCAUAAGGCCUCUGAGAUCCGGCCAAGUUGUUCUGGGGAUCAGUAAUCCAUUCCUUUUAUCACUGAGUCGUUCCCCAGGGUGUGGGCGUUGCAGGGUUGGUGCCGCCAUUCCUCUGCUGAUUGACACCUGGGCUGUUUUCUGUGUUGGGCUGUUAAAGCAUUUUAAGGUCAUCGCAUUUUUAAGGCAAUCCUGAUUUCACUUCAAAGUGGGGACCUCCAGUCCCAGGCAAGGGGAGCUGAGUGCUGACCACCAGCACCAAUUCACCAAGUUCAUCCUGCCAGCGGCCCUUGCUGGGUCUCUCUCUGUUUCACAAAUGUGAAACUGAUAGGGAAAGAGGUUAAACCAUUUACAAAUGUGAAACUGAUAGUGAAAGAGGUUAAACAGCAGGGAGUUCCCGCUGUGGCUCAGCAGAACGAACCCCACUAGCAUCCAUGAGGAUGCGAAUUUGAUCUCUGGCUCUGCUCAGGGGAUUAAAGAUCCGGCGUUGCCGUGAGCUGUGGUGUAGGUGGAAGACAUGGCUUGGAUCCUUCAUUGCUGUGGCAGUGGUGUAGGCCGGCAGCUGUAGCUCCACUUCGACCCCUAGCCUGGGAACUUCCCAUAGGUAGGCCGCCCCCCGCCCCCGAAUCGAAACCUAUAUCUUGGGAGUUCCCACUGUGGCACCGUGGGUUAAGGAUCCAACUGCAGUGGCUUGGGUCACUGCAGACACUCGGGUUUGAUCCCAGCCCAGGGCAGUAGGUUAAAGGAUCCCAUGUUGCUACAGCUGAGGCUCGGAUUCAUUCCUUAGCCUGGGAACUUCCAUAUGCUGCAGGUGUGGCCAAAAAAUAUAUAUAUAUAUAUAAAUAAA